AACGAACGCUGGCGGCAGGCCUAACACAUGCAAGUCGAACGCUGUAGCAAUACAGAGUGGCAGACGGGUGAGUAACGCGUGGGAACCUACCUUUGGUUCGGAAUAGCUCAGGGAAACUUGAGGUAAUACCGGAUAAGCCCUUCGGGGGAAAGAUUUAUCGCCAAAGGAUGGGCCCGCGUCGGAUUAGCUAGUUGGUGGGGUAACGGCCUACCAAGGCGACGAUCCGUAGCUGGUCUGAGAGGAUGAUCAGCCACACUGGGACUGAGACACGGCCCAGACUCCUACGGGAGGCAGCAGUGGGGAAUAUUGGACAAUGGGGGCAACCCUGAUCCAGCCAUGCCGCGUGAGUGACGAAGGUCUUCGGAUUGUAAAGCUCUUUUGGCGGGGAAGAUAAUGACGGUACCCGCAGAAUAAGCCCCGGCUAACUUCGUGCCAGCCGCCGCAGUAA
rnacentral:rRNA from 1 species